rnacentral:rRNA from 1 species
UACGGGGGGAGCAAGCGUUGUUCGGAUUUACUGGGCGUAAAGGGCGCGUAGGCGGUCAGCACAAGUCAGUUGUGAAAUCUCCGGGCUUAACUCGGAAAGGUCAACUGAUACUGUGCGACUAGAGUGCAGAAGGGGCAACUGGAAUUCUCGGUGUAGCGGUGAAAUGCGUAGAUAUCGAGAGGAACACCUGCGGCGAAGGCGGGUUGCUGGGCCGACACUGACGCUGAUGCGCGAAAGCUAGGGGAGCAAACGGG